AGUGCAGUGAGCCUAGUACCUCUUUACACACUCCCCUGGCAAAGAGCAAUUCCCUCAAAAUUGCUUUCCUGUUGCUCCGCACACCCCACCAUCCUCCCCACGCUUAAGACUUGGGCGAACAUACGGGAGGCUGAGAGUCUUUCCCCUCACCCAUCUCCACUCUAUCCCAUCACCUACAACCCACUAUUCCCCCCUGGUAUGCAACCCGGGAUAUACCAAC